UACGGAGGGUGCAAGCGUUACUCGGAAUCACUGGGCGUAAAGCGCGCGCAGGCGGCUAGAUAAGUUGGAAGUGAAAUCCUAUGGCUCAACCAUAGAACUGCUUCCAAAACUGUUUAGCUAGAGUCUGGGAGGGGAAGAUGGAAUUAGUAGUGUAGGGGUAAAAUCCGUAGAGAUUACUAGGAAUACCAAAAGCGAAGGCGAUCUUCUGGAACAGUACUGACGCUGAGGCGCGAAAGCGUGGGGAGCAAACAGGAUUAGAUACCCUGGUAGUCCACGCCCUAAACGAUGAAUGUUAGUCGUCGGGACUCUAGUAGUUUCGGUGAUGCAGUUAACACAUUAAACAUUCCGCCUGGGGAGUACGGUCGCAAGAUUAAAACUCAAAGGAAUAGACGGGGACCCGCACAAGUGGUGGAGCAUGUGGUUUAAUUCGAAGAUACGCGAAGAACCUUACCUAGCCUUGACAUAUUUUAGAACUCCGCAGAGAUGUAGAGGUGCCUUCGGGAGCUAAUAUACAGGUGCUGCACGGCUGUCGUCAGCUCGUGUCGUGAGAUGUUGGGUUAAGUCCCGCAACGAGCGCAACCCUCGUUCUUAGUUACUAACGGUUCGGCCGAGGACUCUAAGAAGACUGCCUUCGUAAGGAGGAGGAAGGUGAGGACGACGUCAAGUCAUCAUGGCCCUUACGGCUAGGGCAACACACGUGCUACAAUGGUUAGGACAAUGAGACGCAAUACCGCGAGGUGGAGCAAAUCUAUAAACCUAAUCUCAGUUCGGAUUGUAGUCUGCAACUCGACUACAUGAAGCUGGAAUCACUAGUAAUCGUAGAUCAGCUAUGCUAC
rnacentral:rRNA from 1 species